rnacentral:rRNA from 1 species
UACAGAGGAGCCAAGCGUUGUCCGGAUUGACUGGGCGUAAAGCGCACGCAGGCGGUUGCGCGCGUGGGGUGUGAAAUCUGGCCGCUUAACGGCCAGGCGCCAUCCCAUACGGCGCGACUGGAGUGAUGCAGAGGUCGAUGGAAUUGCCGGUGUAGUGGUGAAAUGCGCAGAUAUCGGGAAGAACACCCGUGGCGAAGGCGGUUCUCUGGGACGGUACUGACGCUGAGACGCGAAAGCGUGGGGAGCGAACAGG